rfam:Bacteroidetes bacterium GWE2_29_8 gwe2_scaffold_5662, whole genome shotgun sequence.
UUAAUGUGGAGUCCAGCGACCACACCAAAAACGGGGUAUAACCGAAAAACCAGAAGAGUAGGAACUUA